rnacentral:rRNA from 1 species
AACGAACGCUGGCGGCAGGCUUAACACAUGCAAGUCGAGCGCCCCGCAAGGGGAGCGGCAGACGGGUGAGUAACGCGUGGGAAUCUACCCAUCUCUACGGAAUAACGCAGGGAAACGUGUGCUAAUACCGUAUACGUCCUUCGGGAGAAAGAUUUAUCGGAGAUGGAUGAGCCCGCGUUGGAUUCGCUAGUUGGUGGGGUAAAGGCCUACCAAGGCGACGAUCCAUAGCUGGUCUGAGAGGAUGAUCAGCCACACUGGGACUGAGACACGGCCCAGACUCCUACGGGAGGCAGCAGUGGGGAAUAUUGGACAAGGGGCGCAAGCCUGAUCCAGCCAUGCCGCGUGAGUGAUGAAGGCCCUAGGGUUGUAAAGCUCUUUCACCGGUGAAGAUAAUGACGGUAACCGGAGAAGAAGCCCCGGCUAACUUCGUGCCAGCAGCCGCCGUAACAC